UUCAGCCCUCCUUGCCGGAGUUUGUCCUACCUGCCACCCACAGUUCCAAACUGGACCAAACAGCGAAAGUGGUUGGCCGAUAAAGUGGCGGACUUCAGAGGGUUGUUUUAAAGUUUCUGUUUUAUCGGCUGAUUGCAUAGAUGUCGUUGUGCAUCCUGUCCCUUUUUUCCAAAUCAAUUAAAAUUAGCAGAAUUACUCUGCGUUGCUUGGAUAUCCUUAAAUGUUUGAAAAGGUUCAAAGUGUUGUUCUUUCAAUCUUUUCUCCUUUUUCUUUUAAUUAUCAACUAUUGCGAUUUCCCGAUUAUUUAGUUCCUAAAAUCACCGUUCCAAAACAUAGAGUGCGCAAUAGACCAGGAGACAAAAAUGAAGAUUUUAGAAACAUCGGUAUUUCAGACCGUGAGAUUAUAGAAAAAAAGAAUGGAGUUUGAUAACUAAACCCACAUCCGGUAUACCAGAAUUCACGACCUGUUUUACAAGCAGCUGAUAAUGCCAGCAGAUACUGGUGAUAAGGAACCGGUGGAAUUAAUUCUACAUCAGAGGAAAAUGAAUAUUAUUUAUGACAUUAUUGGUUGAAGUGCACCUGUAUUUACGUCAUAGAUAUAAAUGAAGGAAUUCAGGAUGCAGUUAAUACAAGAUUACACAAGCGUUCCUUUGACGCUGAUUAACAGAUGAAACGAUAGUUCUUGGAUGAUAUUCAAUCUGUGAAUUAAUCACUCAAGUUAAACGAGGUAGUAUUGUUCGAUGACAAUAAAUGGAACAAAUGAAAUAAAUGUCACGAUAUCUUCUGACGAUAAUUAUACGGAUAUUUCUAUUGUUUGUGAACAUCGAUCACAUUAAUACGAGAAAAUUACAGAUGCGUCUUUUGUUCAAAUAACAAACAUAAAACCGUUGCAAAUAAAUUGCAAGGACAUCUUUAAAUAGCUAACAAAAUUAUUGCAUAAGCUGUUAUAUGUUUAUUUACAAACACGUUCAAUGCGACGAAAAGUUGCUUAAUCGAAGCUUUAUUAAAGUUUGAGGUUUGUUUUUGUUUUUCUGAUAAAAGAUCACGUGUGUUAACUGACAAAAAAAAGCGAUAAUUCUGUUAUCUGUAAUUCUAUUGUAAUCUAUAUUCAAACAUUUUUUUAUCUUUAAAUUAAUUACUCAUUAUAUAUUUAAGUUGCAAUUAAUAUAAUUGCUUUUCAAAUCACAGAGCCAAAUCUGUAUUAUUUUCAAUAGUUACUUCUUAUUUUACUUUUAAAUAAAAUAUACCCAGGUUAGAUUUAAAGAGGGAGUUAGGAUAAGUAGUUUUAUUUGAACGUGUUUCGUGAAGAAAUUGAUCCUUGAAAAUAAAGCUGACAAUGUGAGAUCAUUGACGUAUAUAGACAUACGUGCUUUGAUCUGUCGUUGUACAUAUAUGAGCUGGUGACUCCAAUGACCCAUAUUUAGAGAAACUACACGGUUAAAUUAUAAUUUUAAAUUAAAGCUGCUCAACGAUCCACUCACAGAGCUCCUAAAAAGUGAGAGUAACCAUUUUUGCAAAAUAUUCCGUUCAAUUCAAUAUAGAGCUUACCUUGUAAAGGAACAUAUCUAUUCUUAACCCACUACUGUGACUCACUUUCGUUUAUUAUUUCUCUGCCUCCGUAUGUUCUACAAAUGGCUCAUAGUUGUUACUCAAUUACACCUUCUUUCAGUAACUUAACACGUUAUUUAUGUCAGAAUAAAGAAACAGAAGAAAAAAACUGGAUCUAAAUGUCACACUUUUAAUUCAUGACCGAGUUCUACUCUUUAUUGAUCGCUCUUUAUAUCGACCAUUAAACAUUAUUUUCCGUCAGAACUUGUUAUUAUUCAAAAAUGAAUGUAUAUUUUAAGAAGAAAAAAAAAACAGGUCGUAAUUUUGCUAUAACUUUAUGAUAACAGAAUAAUUGUUCAGGGAUGUUUUUGGGAUUGGCACAUAAAACAGUAGAUCUCGAGUUAAAGCAAAUAUCGAGUUUAUUUGUCGAUUUGCGUAGUCAUAAAAUAUAUCGAUCGAUAUCAAUAACACUGACAAAUCUCCGUAGUGAUCGCAGAAUAAUAACUGGGAUGUGAAAUCGGAUGUAAAUUCGUAAUUCGUAGAUACCUGAAGCGCGCGCAAUAUUGUAUGCCUCGGUUGGAAAAUAAUUUUCCAAGAGAAAAUAAAUGCAAAACAGUUGUAUACAUUCUCGAAUGAAAUUAAAAAAACAAAAAGAAAAGAAAAACCGUAUACGAUUAUUUAACGUUCGUACAAAAAAAAAUAGUCGAUAUUCACCGUUACAUGGCUAUCGUUAUCCACCGAAUCGAAUCAAUACCACAA